UACGUAGGGUGCGAGCGUUGUCCGGAAUUAUUGGGCGUAAAGGGCUCGUAGGCGGUUUGUCGCGUCGGGAGUGAAAUCCACUGGCUUAACUGGUGGCUUGCUUUCGAUACGGGCAGACUGGAGGUAUGCAGGGGAGAUCGGAAUUCCUGGUGUAGCGGUGAAAUGCGCAGAUAUCAGGAGGAACACCGGUGGCGAAGGCGGAUCUCUGGGCCUUACCUGACGCUCAGGUGCGAAAGCUAGGGGAGCGAACAGG
rnacentral:rRNA from 1 species